CAAAUGCUAGCAAUUAUACCUCUUCGUUAUAUUAAAGUUGAUGGCUUCAAGUUACCAUAUAGCCCGUCCCUCGUGCCCUUCAUAUCUCGACGUGUAAGACGCUACGAACUGUGUUACAUCCCAGACGAAUUUCCCAGUCUAUACGUGAAGACUCAAUCCACUUAACUCGCUUCCCUCCAUUCAUCCUCCAUUUAACAUGGUUUGUAAUCUCGGUUUCAGUUAGGUACCUCGGAAUGGGAGUUGGUUGUGCCCGGCCUUAAUCAACCGAACAAGGGGAACAAUGGGCAUGUAGAAGUCAUUCUCCAUUUUGCGCGUGACCCAAGUAAAAUUGAACCACCUUGAAACAGAUGUGAGAUCCUCAGUUGUUGGGGCCGAUGACUCUGAGAGUGUUGAUAUAACCCGCACUAGACGGUUUAAUGGCAACCAGACACACAUUCACCAUACAAUGACCUCUUACAGGUCGAUACGGAUACGAAACAAGCCGCAGUAUUGAUAUGGAUAUCACCUGAAAGCUUCAAGAAUGGCAUGCCGAUUGCCUGGCUGUAUCCACGCACUCAGGUAGCGAGCGGAAAAAUCAAACUUAAAGGUGAUUAAUUGAUCUUAUGUGUGCAAAGAGGGGUUAAAGUACGACUUUCUCCUUAAGACAUAUUGGGGUAGAGUACACAAAAAGACAAAGAGAUGAAAUAAUAUAUUGUGUUGGACUGAGAAGCUGCUCGCAAACAUAGAAAGAUGAAUGUGCGUCCGGGGUUGAAGCUUGUAAUCUAGCUUUAAACAGCUGCAUGUAUGAAAGAAGGAAAAGAGUGAAAAUCUGUAGUGGGACACCUGGCACUAACUUACCUUCGGCAGAAUUGGGUAGAAUCGAAGCUCUAUUGCAGG
rnacentral:sRNA from 1 species